CCUACGGGAGGCAGCAGUGAGGAAUAUUGGUCAAUGGACGAGAGUCUGAACCAGCCAAGUAGCGUGAAGGAUGACUGCCCUAUGGGUUGUAAACAUCUUUUAUAAAGGAAUAAAACGAGGCACGUGUGCCUUUUUGCAUGUACUUUAUGAAUAAGGAUCUGCUAACUCCGUGCCAGCAGCCGCGGUAAUACGGAGGAUCCGAGCGUUAUCCGGAUUUAUUUGGUUUAAAGGGAGCGUAGAUGGGGUGUUAAGUCAGUUGUGAAUGUUUGCGGCUCAACCGUAAAAUUGCAAUUGAUACUGGCAGUCUUGAGUACAGUUGAGGUAGGCGGAAUUCGUGGUGUAGCGGUGAAAUGCUUAGAUAUCACGAAGAACCCCGAUUGCGAAGGCAGCUUACUAAACUGUGACUGACAUUGAUGCUCGAAAGUGUGGGUAUCAAACAGGAUUAGAUACCCGGGUAGUC
rnacentral:rRNA from 1 species